UACGGAGGGGGCAAGCGUUGUUCGGAAUCAUUGGGCGUAAAGGGCGCGUAGGCGGCCGACCAAGUCGGGUGUGAAAUCCCUCGGCUCAACCGAGGAACUGCACUCGAUACUGGUUGGCUAGAGUCCGGGAGGGGAUGGUGGAAUUCCCAGUGUAGCGGUGAAAUGCGUAGAUAUUGGGAAGAACACCGGUGGCGAAGGCGGCCAUCUGGACCGGAACUGACGCUGAGGCGCGAAAGCAUGGGGAGCGAACAGG
rnacentral:rRNA from 1 species